UACGUAGGGGGCAAGCGUUGUCCGGAAUGAUUGGGCGUAAAGGGCGCGUAGGCGGCCUGUUAAGUCUGGAGUGAAAGUCCUGCUUUCAAGGUGGGAAUUGCUUUGGAAACUGGCGGGCUGGAGUGCAGGAGAGGUUAGCGGAAUUCCCGGUGUAGCGGUGAAAUGCGUAGAGAUCGGGAGGAACACCAGUGGCGAAGGCGGCUAACUGGACUGUAACUGACGCUGAAGCGCGAAAGUGUGGGGAGCAAACAGG
rnacentral:rRNA from 1 species